rnacentral:rRNA from 1 species
AUGCCGCGUGUGUGAAGAAGGCCUGAGGGUUGUAAAGCACUUUCAGUGGGGAGGAGGAUAGCAUGGUUAAGAGCUGAGCUAUUGGACGUUACCUACAGAAGAAGCACCGGCUAACUCCGUGCCAGCAGCCGCGGUAAUACGGAGGGUGCGAGCGUUAAUCGGAAUUACUGGGCGUAAAGGGUGCGUAGGUGGUUAAAUAAGUUAGAUGUAAAAACCCUGGGCUUAACCUAGGACUGAGAUUUAAUACUGUUUAACUAGAGUAUGGGAGAGGGUAGUGGAAUUUCCGGUGUAGCGGUGAAAUGCGUAGAGAUCGGAAGGAACACCAGUGGCGAAGGCGGCUACCUGGCCUAAUACUGACACUGAGGCACGAAAGCGUGGGGAGCAAACAGGAUUAGAUACCCUGGUAGUCCACGCUGUAAACGAUGUCAACUAGCCGUUGU